GGAGCAAACAGGAUUAGAUACCCUGGUAGUCCACGCUGUAAACGAUGUCGAUUUGAAGGUUGUUCCCUUGAGGAGUGGCUUUCGGAGCUAACGCGUUAAAUCGACCGCCUGGGGAGUACGGCCGCAAGGUUAAAACUCAAAUGAAUUGACGGGGGCCCGCACAAGCGGUGGAGCAUGUGGUUUAAUUCGAUGCAACGCGAAGAACCUUACCUACUCUUGACAUCCAGAGAACUUAGCAGAGAUGCUUUGGUGCCUUCGGGAACUCUGAGACAGGUGCUGCAUGGCUGUCGUCAGCUCGUGUUGUGAAAUGUUGGGUUAAGUCCCGCAACGAGCGCAACCCUUAUCCUUUGUUGCCAGCGAUUCGGUCGGGAACUCAAAGGAGACUGCCGGUGAUAAACCGGAGGAAGGUGGGGAUGACGUCAAGUCAUCAUGGCCCUUACGAGUAGGGCUACACACGUGCUACAAUGGCGUAUACAAAGAGAAGCGACCUCGCGAGAGCAAGCGGAACUCAUAAAGUACGUCGUAGUCCGGAUUGGAGUCUGCAACUCGACUCCAUGAAGUCGGAAUCGCUAGUAAUCGUAGAUCAGAAUGCUACGGUGAAUACGUUCCCGGGCCUUGUACACACCGCCCGUCACACCAUGGGAGUGGGUUGCAAAAGAAGUAGGUAGCUUAACCUUCGGGAGGGCGCUUACCACUUUGUGAUUCAUGACUGGGGUGAAGUCGUAACAAGGUAACCGUAGGGGAACCUGCGGUUG
rnacentral:rRNA from 1 species